UACGGGGGGGGGCAAGCGUUGUUCGGAAUUACUGGGCGUAAAGGGCUCGUAGGCGGCCAACUAAGUCAGACGUGAAAUCCCCAGGCUCAACCUGGGAACUGCGUCUGAUACUGGUUGGCUUGAAUCCGGGAGAGGGAUGCAGAAUUCCAGGUGUAGCGGUGAAAUGCGUAGAUAUCUGGAGGAAUACCGGUAGCGAAGGCGGCAUCCUGGACCGGCAUUGACGCUGAGGAGCGAAAGCCAGGGGAGCAAACGGG
rnacentral:rRNA from 1 species